UUAACGUACAUGUGUGAAAUCAACAAUAACAAUUACAAAACUUAUUUUGUGUGCGCGUUGACAUUCUCGGGUCGCGGCUGGAGCACCGGACCUUAAGCGACCUCCUGCCAAUGUUUACGUUUGCAUCGCGGCUGAACCCGUCCGCGUUGCUCCCAGUUAUUUUGCUCGUACAACUGUAGAACUUUAGCAACUGGUGGCAACCAUGAGUAUAAAACGUUCAUCAGGUGGUAGUGGUUCCUCGUAUCCAAAGAGAAUCUGGGAAAACGACAGUUUAGAGAAGAAAAUUAAAGUGUAAAACUGUAAUUGAAGGAUGAAAACAGUCUGCACACCUUGCCUGCACUGUCAUUGGUUAAGAUCAUUGACUGUAUGUCGUCCCUAAAUCAUCAACAUUGACAACAUAAGAGGCAUCAAGAUGACGAGUGAAGCGGUGAGUGUGUAUAAGGAGGCAGCCAACCGUUCUCUCGGGAGAUGAAAAGGCAGACAAUCCUGCGUCAACACACACUCAGCUGCUGCCUCUCAGCCUGAAUAGUGAAUAAACCGGUUGGUGAUAAAAGUGAAGAAGUGGAUGAAGACUCCGAACACGGGUGCUGAAGGCUCUGGAGUAGGCGAGUCCAACUAGG